rnacentral:rRNA from 1 species
CCUACGGGUGGCAGCAGUGGGGAAUAUUGCGCAAUGGGCGAAAGCCUGACGCAGCGACGCCGCGUGAGGGAUGAAGGUUCUCGGAUCGUAAACCUCUGUCAGAAGGGAAGAAAGUAUAUCAUGCUAAUCAGUGUUGUAUUGACGGUACCUUCAAAGAAAGCCCCGGCUAACUCCGUGCCAGCAGCCGCGGUAAUACGUAGGGUGCGAGCGUUAAUCGGAAUUACUGGGCGUAAAGCGCACGUAGGCUGUAUGACAAGUCAAGGGGGAAAUGCCACGGCUCAACCGUGGAACUGCCUGUGAAACUGUAAAACUAGAGUAUGUGAGAGGGAGGCGGAAGUCCUGGUGUAGGAGUGAAAUGCGUAGAUAUCAGGAGGAACACCAGUGGCGAAGGCGGCGGUCUGGCACAAAACUGACGCUGAGGCGCGAAAGCGUGGGUAGCAAACAGGAUUAGAUACCCUGGUAGUC